UUAGGACGAACGCUGGCGGCGUGCCUAAUACAUGCAAGUCGAACGGUCUUUCUAUGGAAGCUUGCUUCCACUGAGAAGAUAGUGGCGAACGGGUGAGUAACACGUGGGUAACCUGCCCAUAAGAGGGGGAUAACAUCCGGAAACGGGUGCUAAUACCGCAUAGUUUUCUUGAUCGCAUGAUUGAGAAAGGAAAGACGGCCUUUGUGCUGUCGCUUAUGGAUGGACCCGCGGCGUAUUAGUUAGUUGGUGAGGUAACGGCUCACCAAGACGAUGAUACGUAGCCGACCUGAGAGGGUGAUCGGCCACAUUGGGACUGAGACACGGCCCAAACUCCUACGGGAGGCAGCAGUAGGGAAUCUUCCGCAAUGGACGGAAGUCUGACGGAGCAACGCCGCGUGAGUGAAGAAGGUUUUCGGAAUCGUAAAACUCUGUUGUCAGAGAAGAACAAGUUGGAGAGUAACUGCUCCAGCCUUGACGGUAUCUGACCAGAAAGCCACGGCUAACUACGUGCCAGCAGCAGC
rnacentral:rRNA from 1 species